UACGUAGGGGGCAAGCGUUAUCCGGGUUUACUGGGUGUAAAGGGGGCGCAGACGGCGAUGCAAGCCAGGAGUGAAAGCCCGGGGCCCAACCCCGGGACUGCUCUUGGAACUGCGUGGCUGGAGUGCAGGAGGGGCAGGCGGAAUUCCUGGUGUAGCGGUGAAAUGCGUAGAUAUCAGGAGGAACACCGGUGGCGAAGGCGGCCUGCUGGACUGCAACUGACGUUGAGGCCCGAAAGCGUGGGGAGCAAACAGG
rnacentral:rRNA from 1 species